rnacentral:tRNA from 1 species
AAAAAAAGCCGGAAUAGCUCAGUCG